rnacentral:rRNA from 1 species
UACAGAGGGGGCUAGCGUUGUUCGGAAUUACUGGGCGUAAAGCGCGCGUAGGCGGCUUUGUAAGUUAGAGGUGAAAGCCCGGAGCUCAACUCCGGAACUGCCUUUAAGACUGCAUCGCUAGAACGUCGGAGAGGUAAGUGGAAUUCCGAGUGUAGAGGUGAAAUUCGUAGAUAUUCGGAAGAACACCAGUGGCGAAGGCGACUUACUGGACGACUGUUGACGCUGAGGUGCGAAAGCGUGGGGAGCAAACAGG